AAUUCAUAAUGUGGACACCUUCUCACUAAAUCCUUAAAUCUAUCCUAUGCUUUAUAAAUUGUUUCCAUAUCCAUCUGAGCAAACAUUUAGUAUCAUUUCUUAGCGU